GAGUUUGAUCCUGGCUCAAGGAUGAACGCUGGCGGUAUGCUUUAACACAUGCAAGUCGAACGGUCUCUUCGGAGAUAGUGGCGGACGGUUGAGUAACGCGUGAGAAUCUAGCUUCAGGUCGGGGACAACCACUGGAAACGGUGGCUAAUACCGGAUAUGCCGAGAGGUGAAAGGCUUCCUGCCUGAAGAUGAGCUCGCGUCUGAUUAGCUAGUAGGUGUGGUAAAAGCGCACCUAGGCGACGAUCAGUAGCUGGUCUGAGAGGAUGAUCAGCCACACUGGGACUGAGACACGGCCCAGACUCCUACGGGAGGCAGCAGUGGGGAAUUUUCCGCNAUGGGCGAAAGCCUGACGGAGCAAUACCGCGUGAGGGAGGAAGGCUCUUGGGUUGUAAACCUCUUUUCUCAGGGAAGAAAAAAAUGACGGUACCUGAGGAACAAGCAUCGGCUAACUCCGUGCCAGCAGCCGCGGUAAUACGGAGGAUGCAAGCGUUAUCCGGAAUGAUUGGGCGUAAAGGGUCCGCAGGUGGCUAUGUAAGUCUGCUGUUAAAGAACCUAGCUUAACUAGGUAAAAGCAGUGGAAACUACAAAGCUAGAGUGCGUUCGGGGUAGAGGGAAUUCCUGGUGUAGCGGUGAAAUGCGUAGAGAUCAGGAAGAACACCAGUGGCGAAGGCGCUCUACUAGGCCGCAACUGACACUGAGGGACGAAAGCUAGGGGAGCGAAUGGGAUUAGAUACCCCAGUAGUCCUAGCCGUAAACGAUGGAUACUAGGCGUGGCUUGUAUCGACCCAAGCCGUGCCGUAGCUAACGCGUUAAGUAUCCCGCCUGGGGAGUACGCACGCAAGUGUGAAACUCAAAGGAAUUGGCGGGGGCCCGCACAAGCGGUGGAGUAUGUGGUUUAAUUCGAUGCAACGCGAAGAACCUUACCAAGACUUGACAUGUCGCGAAUCUUCUUGAAAGGGAAGAGUGCCUUCGGGAGCGCGAACACAGGUGGUGCAUGGCUGUCGUCAGCUCGUGUCGUGAGAUGUUGGGUUAAGUCCCGCAACGAGCGCAACCCUCGUUUUUAGUUGCCAGCAUUAAGUUGGGCACUCUAGAGAGACUGCCGGUGACAAACCGGAGGAAGGUGGGGAUGACGUCAAGUCAGCAUGCCCCUUACGUCUUGGGCUACACACGUACUACAAUGCUACGGACAAAGGGUAGCUACACAGCAAUGUGAUGCCAAUCUCAGAAACCGUAGCUCAGUUCAGAUCGCAGGCUGCAACUCGCCUGCGUGAAGUCGGAAUCGCUAGUAAUUGCAGGUCAGCAUACUGCAGUGAAUUCGUUCCCGGGCCUUGUACACACCGCCCGUCACACCAUGGAAGCUGGUCACGCCCGAAGUCGUUACCCCAACUUUUCGGAGAGGGGGAUGCCGAAGGCAGGUCUGGUGACUGGGGUGAAGUCGUAACAAGGUAGCCGCACCGGAAGGUGUGGCUGGAUCACCUCCUUU
rnacentral:rRNA from 1 species